GGCCUGGCAGCUCUGGGGGCCUGCAGCGGCAGGGCUGAGGUCCCGGCCUCCUUGCAGGUUGUCAGCCGGGUCCCCUCUCGGCUCCUGAAGGCUGCCGGCAUCUUCCUCUCAAGGGCCCUUCCCAUCUUCCAACCGGAAACAGCAUGGCCAGUUCUCCUGGCUCUGAGGGGCUAGUGAGCAGGCGAGGCCACCCCGAUGACCCCCCUUUUGAGUUUAACUGAGGACGGCGCACGUCCUCACGUUCCAGGGCUCCUGUGGAGAAAUUCCGCACACCACCCUCACCUUCCUGUAGGUCAGGCCGGUUCCUUCUGCGGUGGGCGUGGGAGAGCCACAGCCCAGUGGAGAGGCGUUGCAAGGCCCCACACCCCUUCCACCAUGUUCUACCAACCACGGCAAAUCAAAGGCCACCGAGACCCAGGGCCUAGGGACACAGACCCAUCCCGGGAGGGGAGGUGCCGCCCAGUCACAGUCCCACCAGUGCAUGGACACAGGGAGAAUUGCCCGGGCCCCGGGUUUGGUGAAUCCGGCAGCCCGCCCUCUGCCCCAGCGAGUCCCUUCCCCUCUCAUAAAACCGCAUUCUCCCCUCCCUAGACCACCAGAGCCCCAUCUGAUUAAGGCAUCGAGAUCAAAGCUCAGCAGAGGGCGGCUCAUGAUGGGCAGCUCAAAAAAAUAAACCCACCAAUCAGAGUCCGUGUUCCUGUGACCGGUGGCGGGUUCGGAUGCAGAGGAGGCUUCUCAGUGCGGUUCCUCCUCAUCUCGGAACCUGCCACCCCACUCAAGCCCGACAUAGGCCAGGACAGCCAGGACGGCCGCAGCGAGGGCAACACGAGGCCCGUCGACAUCCUGAGGCCCCCGGGCCUGUCGCCGAGUCCCGGCUUGGGGAGUGUCCCCGGGCCACACUGGUCCUGCUCCCGGCUGUGUGGUCUCCCAGGCGCGUGGCUCCUCCCUCCGGGGCCCAGGCUCUGGUGUGAGCCACUUUUUCCAUAGGAGACGCCCAUACUUGCAGCUCACGCCUUUGUCUGGUGCCCUGGCCUCACACCUAUAGGAAUUGGGUACCUGGGGGCCUCUUCAUCUUUACUUGUCUCAGCUUAGAGAAGCCCAGCUACACUUCCUCCAUGCCUGGAUUCAUGCACGGCCCCACAGGGUGAGGCCUGGACACCCUCACGGGCACUGGGGCUCCACGGAUGCAGAAGGCAGCCUGGCCCGGUAGCUCGGGGGUCUGAGAUGGAGGUGGAGUAAGACAGAGUGACAAAGGCUGCGUCCUGGAGGCAGGCUCGGAGCCUCCCUGAGCUCAGAGAGCCCGCGUGCGCCAGGAAGCCACACCUGCAGGACCCGAGUCGGAACUCAGAGGCUGGUACAGCCGCGGUGCUUGUCCUGUAGAUAAGAAUGGCCUCCUCUGGCGGCCAAAGUUAAUUAAACUGACAAUCUUGAUAAGUUGCACAGUUACCUGCUCGGGGACAAAGAAGAUGGGAGCCUUGUUUGUGGUUUCUUCUUGUUCUUUCCUGUGCCCCACAGUCAUUUUAAAAUUAAAUUAAAUGGCUUAUCUGCAC
rnacentral:lncRNA from 1 species